GAACCCGGAGAUAGCUGGUUCUCCUCGAAAUAGCUUUAGGGCUAGCCUCAUGGAUCAUUGAUGGGGGUAGAGCACUGAAUGUGCGCGGGGGCCACAAAGCCUACCAAACGCUAUCAAACUACGAAUACCAUACAAUGCAGACCAUGGGAGUCAGUCCGCGAGAGAUAAGUUCCGCGGGCAAAAGGGGAACACCCCAGAUCAACCGCUAAGGUCCCCAAGUUCACGUUAAGUGGAGAAGGAUGUGGAAUUGCACAGACAACCAGGAUGUUGGCUCAGAAGCAGCCACACAUUUAAAGAGUGCGUAAUAGCUCACUGGUCGAGUGAUUGUGCGCCGAAGAUGUCCGGGGCUAAACGUGACACCGAAGCGAUGGGUGCAUCUGAAAGGAUGCGCGGUAGAGGAGCAAUGUGCAGAGGCAGAAGCCGUAUCGAGAGGCACGGUGGACACUGCACAAGAGAGAAUGCCGGUAUGAGUAGCGAGAGGCAUGCGAGAAACAUGCCCGUCGAAAGCCCAAGGUUUCCUGGGGAAGGUUCAUCCGCCCAGGGUAAGUCGGGGCCUAAGCCGAGGACGGAAGUCGUAGGCGAUGGACAGCAGGUGUAGAUUCCUGCACUACCGAUGGAAUGAAGCAGUGACACAGAAGGAUAACUCGAGCAGGGUGAUGGUCAACCCUGUGCAAGCAUCAAGGUUGGGUUGUAGUGAAGUACGCAACCCUACAAGCUGAGGUGUGAUGCGGACCGAAAUUUUAGUAGGGAAGCGAGUGAGUUCACGCUGGCGAGAAAAGCUGCUAGUACAUCCAAAGGUACCCGUACCGGAAACCGACGCAGGUGGGCGAGGAGAGAAUCCUGAGACGAACGGGAGAACCCUUGUUAAGGAACUCGGCAAAAUGACCCCGUAACUUCGGGAUAAGGGGUGCCUGCGAGAGCAGGCCGCAGAGAAUAGUCACAAGCGACUGUUUAGCAAAAACACAGGUAUCUGCGAAAGCGAGAGCUGACGUAUAGGUGCUGACACCUGCCCGGUGCUGGAAGGUUAAGGGAACAUGUUAGAGCAAUCGAAGCAUCGAACCGAAGCCCCAGUAAACGGCGGCCGUAACUAUAACGGUCCUAAGGUAGCGAAAUUCCUUGUCGGGUAAGUUCCGACCCGCACGAAUGGUGUAACGACUUGUGAGCUGUCUCAACAGGGGGCCCGGUGAAAUUGAAGUAUGGGUGAAGAUGCCCAUUACCCGCGACUGGACGGAGAGACCCCGUAGAGCUUUACUGCAGCCUGAUAUUGAGUUUCGGUAACUGAUGCACAGGAUAGGUGGGAGUCUGAGAGACAUGGGUUUCGGCUCAUGUGGAGACGGUGUUGGGAUACCACUCUUCGGUUACUGAAAUUCUAACAUAGCUCUGUGAAACCAGAGGAUGGACAGUGUCAGGUGGACAGUUUGACUGGGGCGGUCGCCUCCGAAAGAGUAACGGAGGCGCCCAAAGGUACCCUCAGAAUGGAUGGAAACCAUUCGAAGAGAGCAAAGUCAGAAGGGUGCUUGACUGCGAGACCAACAAGUCGAGCAGGUACGAAAGUAGGGCUUAGUGAUCCGGCGGUAAGAGAGUGGAAUUGCCGUCGCUCAACGGAUAAAAGCUACCUCGGGGAUAACAGGCUGAUCUCCCCCAAGAGUCCACAUCGACGGGGAGGUUUGGCACCUCGAUGUCGGCUCAUCGCAUCCUGGGGCUGAAUUCGGUCCCAAGGGUUUGGCUGUUCGCCAAUUAAAGCGGCACGCGAGCUGGGUUCAGAACGUCGUGAGACAGUUCGGUCCCUAUCCAUCGUGGGCGUAGGAGUCAUGAGAGGAGCUGUUCCUAGUACGAGAGGACCGGAAUGGACGCACCACUGGUGCAACUGUUGUCGUGCCAACGGCAUAGCAGGGAAGCGAAGUGCGGAUGGGAUAAACGCUGAAGGCAUCUAAGCGUGAAGCCCACCUCAAGAAUAAGACUCCACAAUAGACCCCUGGAGGACUACCAGGUAGAUAGGUCAUCGGUGGAAGCGCUGUAAGGCGUGU
rnacentral:rRNA from 1 species